rnacentral:misc_RNA from 1 species
UGGCUUGAAUUUGCCAUACCAAAUCAGGUUUACAGAGAUUUUGCCAGAAAGAAGUGCCCCCUUGUGGUAUUUCAAAAGCUGCAUUUGUGGGUCUUGUACUAAAGCAGUGAGCUUUCUUGAAGCGAAGCACACAUUAAAGAAGGAAAUAACAAGAAAGAGCUUCAAAAUGAUAUGAGCAGCCAUUGCUGAUUUCUUUUUUUCUUCUAUUAGAGGCUUAUGAAGAGUAUUAAAACAGAGAAUAAAAGAGGAGAGGUGUGGGAAUGAGAAUCUUUUGCGGACACACACUACUGCUGUUUCGUCAAGAAUGUUGUAUGCAUUAGCUC